rnacentral:rRNA from 1 species
CCCUCGGUGCCGCAGCAAACGCAUUAAGUAUUCCGCCUGGGGAGUACGGUCGCAAGAUUAAAACUCAAAGGAAUUGACGGGGACCCGCACAAGCAGCGGAGCAUGUGGUUUAAUUCGAAGCAACGCGAAGAACCUUACCUAGACUUGACAUCUCCUGAAUUACUCUUAAUCGAGGAAGUCCCUUCGGGGACAGGAAGACAGGUGGUGCAUGGUUGUCGUCAGCUCGUGUCGUGAGAUGUUGGGUUAAGUCCCGCAACGAGCGCAACCCUUAUUGUUAGUUGCUACUAUUAAGUUAAGCACUCUAACGAGACUGCCGCGGUUAACGUGGAGGAAGGUGGGGAUGACGUCAAAUCAUCAUGCCCCUUAUGUCUAGGGCUACACACGUGCUACAAUGGCUGGUACAACGAGCAGCAAACCCGCGAGGGGGAGCAAAACUUGAAAGCCAGUCCCAGUUCGGAUUGUAGGCUGAAACUCGCCUACAUGAAGUUGGAGUUGCUAGUAAUCGCGAAUCAGCAUGUCGCGGUGAAUACGUUCCCGGGUCUUGUACACACCGCCCGUCACACCAUGAGAGCCGGUAACACCCGAAGCCCGUGAGGUAACCGUAAGGAGCCAGCGGUCGAAGGUGGGAUUGGUGAUUGGGGUGAAGUCGUAACAAGGUCGCCGUAGGAGAACCUGCGGCUGGAUCACCUCCUUUCUA